rnacentral:rRNA from 1 species
GGCUAACCCGUCUCUGUGGCAAAAGAGUGGGAAGAGCUCCGGGUAGAAGUGACAGACCUACCGAACCUGGUGAUAGCUGGUUGCCUAAGAAAUGGAUAGAAGUUCAGCCUCGCACACCCCGAAUCAAAGAUCNAAUACACAUCAACAAGAUACUAAGGGAAAAGCACGAGAGUUAGUUGAAGGGGGUACAGCCCCUUUAACAAAGGANACAACUUNGCAGGAGGAUAAAGAUCAUAAUAUAU